rnacentral:rRNA from 1 species
AGACCCGAAACCCGGUGAUCUAGCCAUGGGCAGGUUGAAGGUUGGGUAACACUAACUGGAGGACCGAACCGACUAAUGUUGAAAAAUUAGCGGAUGACCUGUGGCUGGGGGUGAAAGGCCAAUCAAACCGGGAGAUAGCUGGUUCUCCCCGAAAGCUAUUUAGGUAGCGCCUCGUGAAUUCAUCUCCGGGGGUAGAGCACUGUUUCGGCUAGGGGGCCAUCCCGGCUUACCAACCCGAUGCAAACUGCGAAUACCGGAGAAUGUUAUCACGGGAGACACACGGCGGGUGCUAACGUCCGUCGUGAAGAGGGAAACAACCCAGACCGCCAGCUAAGGUCCCAAAGUCAUGGUUAAGUGGGAAACGAUGUGGGAAGGCCCAGACAGCCAGGAUGUUGGCUUAGAAGCAGCCAUCAUUUAAAGAAAGCGUAAUAGCUCACUGGUCGAGUCGGCCUGCGCGGAAGAUGUAACGGGGCUAAACCAUGCACCGAAGCUGCGGCAGCGAACGUAUCACCCAAGACAACUUUACGGAGUUGACGAUUGACGGAGCGAAGCGACGUCAAAGCGUUCAUUAAAGUCGAGUUGGCUUAGGGAUACGUUCGUUGGGUAGGGGAGCGUUCUGUAAGCCUGUGAAGGUGUGUCGUGAGGCAUGCUGGAGGUAUCAGAAGUGCGAAUGCUGACAUAAGUAACGAUAAAGCGGGUGAAAAGCCCGCUCGCCGGAAGACCAAGGGUUCCUGUCCAACGUUAAUCGGGGCAGGGUGAGUCGACCCCUAAGGCGAGGCCGAAAGGCGUAGUCGAUGGGAAACGGGUUAAUAUUCCCGUACUUGGUGUUACUGCGAAGGGGGGACGGAGAAGGCUAUGUUGGCCGGGCGACGGUUGUCCCGGUUUAAGCGUGUAGGUGUGUGUUCCAGGUAAAUCCGGUUCACUUUAACACUGAGGCGUGACGACGAGGCACUACGGUGCUGAAGCAACAAAUGCCCUGCUUCCAGGAAAAGCCUCUAAGCAUCAGGUAACAUCAAAUCGUACCCCAAACCGACACAGGUGGUCAGGUAGAGAAUACCAAGGCGCUUGAGAGAACUCGGGUGAAGGAACUAGGCAAAAUGGUGCCGUAACUUCGGGAGAAGGCACGCUGACACGUAGGUGAAGUGAUUUACUCAUGGAGCUGAAGUCAGUCGAA